GGCUCUUUGGCGUCGCGGUCAAAGCUGUAGUUUAGUACCCUGUAGACCCAGGUUCAAGGCCAGGUGGGGUGA
rnacentral:tRNA from 1 species